rnacentral:lncRNA from 1 species
UCCAAGUGCACUAGGAAUCGACUUUUUGAAGAUCGACUUUUCCCUCCAAGCAAAAGUCGAACCCAUCUUCCAAGAAAAAGUCGAACACUCCAGGAUGGUGGUAACUCGAAGCACUUCCCAAGGAGGAGGAGCAAAUUCUCAGGAGGCACCAGAGCAACAGCCUGGCAACUCAAAAACCAAAAGGCCAGUGGGUCGACCACCCAAGGCCAAUAAAAACAAAAGGACUCC